rnacentral:rRNA from 1 species
GGCGAGCGAAGCGGGAAGAGCUCAAAUUUGAAAUCUGGUGGCCUCAGGUCAUCCGAGUUGUAAUCUAUAGAAGUGUUUUCCGUGCUGGCCCAUGUACAAGUCCCUUGGAACAGGGCGUCAUAGAGGGUGAGAAUCCCGUCCUUGACAUGGACUACCAGUGCUCUGUGAUACACUUUCAACGAGUCGAGUUGUUUGGGAAUGCAGCUCAAAAUGGGUGGUAAAUUCCAUCUAAAGCUAAAUAUUGGCGAGAGACCGAUAGCGAACAAGUACCGUGAGGGAAAGAUGAAAAGCACUUUGGAAAGAGAGUUAAACAGUAUGUGAAAUUGUUGAAAGGGAAACGAUUGAAGUCAGUCGUGCUCAAUGGACUCAGCCGUUCUGCGGUGUAUUUCCAUUGGGUGGGGUCAACAUCAGUUUUGAUCGCUGGAUAAAGGCAGGAGGAAUGUAGCACCCCCGGGUGAACUUAUAGCCUCUUGUCACAUACAGUGGUUGGGACUGAGGAACGCAGCAUGCCUUUAUGGCCGGGAUUCGUCCACGUACAUGCUUAGGAUGUUGACAUAAUGGCUUUAAACGACCCGU